rnacentral:rRNA from 1 species
UGGGGAAUAUUGCGCAAUGGUCGAAAGACUGACGCAGCGACGCCGCGUGUGGGAGGAAGCCCUUCGGGGUGUAAACCACUGUCAGGGGGGAAGAACCCUCGGAGCGAAAACAUCGCUACGAGCUGACGGUACCCCCAGAGGAAGCGCCGGCUAACUCCGUGCCAGCAGCCGCGGUAAGACGGAGGGCGCAAGCGUUGUUCGGAAUUACUGGGCGUAAAGGGCGGGCAGGUGGCCUGUUAAGUCGUUUGUGAAACUCCGGGGCUCAACUCCGGACAUGCAGACGAUACUGGCGGGCUAGAGAAUGGUAGAGGCAAGCGGAAUUCCUGGUGUAGCGGUGGAAUGCGUAGAUAUCAGGAAGAACACCUGUGGCGAAGGCGGCUUGCUGGGCCAUUUCUGACACUCAUCCGCGAAAGCGUGGGGAGCAAACA